rnacentral:rRNA from 1 species
GAUGAACGCUGGCGGCGUGCCUAACACAUGCAAGUCGAGCGAACGCACAAUAAGCUCGCGCUUCUGAUGUUAGCGGCGGACGGGCGAGUAACACAUGGAUCACAUACUUAUUUGACUGGGAGAACAACGUGAAACCGCAGCCGCUACUGGCUAAUAUUUUGAACCGCAUGGUUCAUAAGUGCAAGACGCUUUUCCUGUCUCUUAUAGAUGGAUCCGCGCUGCAUUAGCUAGUUGGUAAGGUAACGGCUUACCAAGGCAACGAUGCGUAGCCGACCUGAGAGGGUGAUCAGCCACACUGGAACUGAGACACGGUCCAGACUCCUACGGGAGGCAGCAGUAGGGAAUCUUCCGCAAUGGGCGAAAGCCUGAUGGAGCAAAGCCGCGUGAGUGAUGAAGGUCUUCGGAUCGUAAAACUCUGUUAUUGGGGAAGAAAAGAUGUAUAAGUAACUGUGGAUGUUAUGACGGUACCUAAAGAAAAAGCCACGGCUAACUUCGUG